rnacentral:rRNA from 1 species
AUUGAACGCUGGCGGCAUGCUUUACACAUGCAAGUCGAACGGCAGCACGGGGCAACCUGGUGGCGAGUGGCGAACGGGUGAGUAAUGCAUCGGAACGUACCUUUCAGUGGGGGAUAACGUAGCGAAAGUUACGCUAAUACCGCAUAUUCUGUGAGCAGGAAAGCAGGGGAUCGCAAGACCUUGCGCUGAUUGAGCGGCCGAUGUCAGAUUAGCUAGUUGGUGAGGUAAAGGCUCACCAAGGCGACGAUCUGUAGCGGGUCUGAGAGGAUGAUCCGCCACACUGGAACGGAGACACGGUCCAGACUCCUACGGGAGGCAGCAGUGGGGAAUUUUGGACAAGGGGGGCAACCCUGAUCCAGCCAUGCCGCGUGAGUGAAGAAGGCCUUCGGGUUGUAAAGCUCUUUCGGCCGGGAAGAAAUCGCACGGGCUAAUACCCUGUGUGGAUGACGGUACCGGAAUAAGAAGCACCGGCUAACUACGUGCCAGCAGCCGCGGUAACAC